UACGUAGGGGGCAAGCGUUGUCCGGAAUCAUUGGGCGUAAAGCGCGUGUAGGCGGCCCGAUAAGUCCGCUGUGAAAGUCCAGGGCUCAACCCUGGAAUGCCGGUGGAUACUGUCGGGCUCGAGUCCGGAAGAGGCGAGUGGAAUUCCGUGGUGUAGCGGUGAAAUGCGCAGAUAUCAGGAGGAACACCGAUGGCGAAGGCAGCUCGCUGGGACGGUACUGACGCUGAGACGCGAAAGCGUGGGAG
rnacentral:rRNA from 1 species